rnacentral:miRNA from 1 species
AGGUACACCGUGAACUCAAAU